GAAAUACGGUGGUAUUACGUAGUCAUACAGUUAAAUUGUAGUGGUGAAGAGUUAAACUGGUCCUGGGUCAGUGGUGAAGGGUUAAACUGGUCCUGGGUCAGUGGUGAAGGGUUAAACUGGUCCUGGGUCGGUGGUGAAGGGUUACACCUUACUGCUACGGGAGGUGGGCACAAUCACAUGUUGAACACAGCUCUCAGGUCUCCUCUCACUCACUUCUAGUGUUCUCCAGGCAACAUCACAGCUGUAGAAACCCUCCAAGAAGAAUGACUAUAAGUGUGUCCCCUUUAAACCAGACAGAAUAAACCUGAGUAGAGCUUUGCUGCAUUUCUUAUUGCCAACAGUGGUGACUGUCUGCCUGAUAGCCAACAGUAGCUGAUUACUGCAACCAGGUGGUGAUGCUGAGAACGACACACAGGGUGCUGCCCAGAGAGACACAGAUGCCCCACUCAGCUGGAUAAUUUACACAACUCUUGUUCUAAUGAUGUGAUAUUGAUGUACUUAAACAAGGCAUAACUCAUAAAGAUCCUACUAAAUUACUAAAGGGGCUAAGUCAUAAGCCCUAAAAGUUCCAGAAUGGGGUGAAAAUGGCAGCCAUCUUGGUCAGGGAGAAAUCCAAAACAAAUCCACUAAUUGGAAUUAAUGGCAAUAGAGGCAUAGGUGAUGCAUUUUCUUAUUUUACUUAAUAAAAGUAGGGUAUCAGAAAUGUUUUAAUAUAAUUAUAGUCAACCUAAAAUAUUGUCAUAUAAUUAUAAAUACAGUUUAUACAGGGUUUAUACCUGUAGCCACCCCACAACAUGAUGCCGCCACCCCCACAACAUGAUGCUGCCACCCCCACAACAUGAUGCCGCCACCCCACAACAUGAUGCUGCCACCCCCACAACAUGAUGCUGCCACCCCCACAACAUGAUGCCGCCACCCCCACAACAUGAUGCUACCACCCCCACAACAUGAUGCUGCCACCCCCACAACAUGAUGCCGCCACCCCACAACAUGAUGCUGCCACCCCCACAACAUGAUGCUGCCACCCCCACAACAUGAUGCCGCCACCCCCACAACAUGAUGCUACCACCCCCACAACAUGAUGCUGCCACCCCCACAACAUGAUGCUACCACCCCCACAACAUGAUGCUGCCACCCCCACAACAUGAUGCUGCCACCCCCACAACAUGAUGCUGCCACCCCCACAACAUGAUGCUGCCACCCCCACAACAUGAUGCUGCCACCCCCGUGCUCAACUGUAUGCAGGUAAACGUGACAAAAUUAACUGAGCAUGUAGUUAUUAACUGAUCAAGAUACAAUAGUGUAGUAAGACAACAUAUGCGAUGUGGUAACAUAGA
rnacentral:lncRNA from 1 species